AAGCUGGCUCUCUGCAAGUCACUCAGAUUUGCAAGUACUUGGACAUUACAGCUUGAGGGUCACCACGUACAUGUACGUAGUAACGAUCUGAAUGGGGCCAGCAAUCAUCAUGGCCAUAUGCUCACCAUGACAACAAUACGGAAAACCAUCCUCUGCUUACGGGAGGUACUUGUACAAUGACUGAGAGAAUGAGUGAUCAGCAGCAAUACUCUGGUAAAUUGCAAUCAUCCUCUGUAAUGGAAGAUGUGUGCAGGAAGACUGGAGUGACUGAUCCAACAGCUCGAUCAAGAAAUCCCCAACAGUGACAUCUACUGUGUAUCUGAACACAUUGAGAUGACACCCGACAUGCUUCAAAGACUCGAACUCACUACUGCUGAAAAAAGCGAUGCUACUCGAAAGAGAAAGUACGAAGGCAAUCAAACAGGAGUGGCUCAUGCAUCGAGAGUGUAGCAAAGAGGAGACACUGUUUGUGUACAAUUAUACCUCAUUCAUUGUGUUGUCGUCAAGUGAUCAUUUGAUACAAUUAUUGACUGCAUGUGGUCUACAAUUUUGGACAUUAAUUACUACUAUUUGUCUGUUGUUCAUCAUCAAUAGAAUUUAGCCUCCUUC